CAUUAGAUGGCUGAAUUUUAAGUGUUGGUCUCUUAAACCAAAUCAUAGUAUUAUACUUCUAAUG
rnacentral:tRNA from 1 species